GAUGAACGCUGGCGGCGUGCCUAAUACAUGCAAGUCGAGCGAACGGACGAGAAGCUUGCUUCUCUGAUGUUAGCGGCGGACGGGUGAGUAACACGUGGAUAACCUACCUAUAAGACUGGGAUAACUUCGGGAAACCGGAGCUAAUACCGGAUAAUAUUUUGAACCGCAUGGUUCAAAAGUGAAAGACGGUCUUGCUGUCACUUAUAGAUGGAUCCGCGCUGCAUUAGCUAGUUGGUAAGGUAACGGCUUACCAAGGCAACGAUGCAUAGCCGACCUGAGAGGGUGGUCGGCCACACUGGAACUGAGACACGGUCCAGACUCCUACGGGAAGCAGCAGUAGGGAAUCUUCCGCAAGGGGGGAGAGCCUGACGGAGCAACGCCGCGGAAGUGAUGAAGGUCUUCGGAUCGUAAAACUCUGUUAUUAGGGAAGAACAUAUGUGUAAGUAACUGUGCACAUCUUGACGGUACCUAAUCAGAAAGCCACGGCUAACUACGUG
rnacentral:rRNA from 1 species